rnacentral:rRNA from 1 species
ACCUAAGAGAUUAAGCGUUCCCUUCGGGGACGGAAUGACAGGUGGUGCAUGGUUGUCGUCAGCUCGUGUCGUGAGAUGUUGGGUUAAGUCCCGCAACGAGCGCAACCCUUAUUGUCAGUUGCCAGCAUUUAGUUGGGCACUCUGGCGAGACUGCCGGUGACAAACCGGAGGAAGGUGGGGAUGACGUCAAAUCAUCAUGCCCCUUAUGACCUGGGCUACACACGUGCUACAAUGGACGGUACAACGAGUCGCGAAACCGCGAGGUCAAGCUAAUCUCUUAAAGCCGUUCUCAGUUCGGAUUGUAGGCUGCAACUCGCCUACAUGAAGUUGGAAUCGCUAGUAAUCGUGGAUCAGCAUGCCACGGUGAAUACGUUCCCGGGUCUUGUACACACCGA